rnacentral:rRNA from 1 species
CCCUUAGAUGUUCUGGGCCGCACGCGUGCUACACUGAGUAAAUCAAUGGGUAAGGGAACACGAAAGUGCAACCUAAUCUUGAAAUUUGCUCGUGAUGGGGAUCGACGGUUGCAAUUUUCCGUCGUGAACGAGGAAUACCUUGUAGGCGCGUGUCAUCAUCACGCGCCGAAUACGUCCCUGCCCUUUGUACACACCGCCCGUCGCUCCUACCGAUUGAGUGAUCCGGUGAGGCUCUGGGACCUGGACGGAAAGAGCGUUUCGCUUGUUCUGUUUGGGAAACUUGGUCGAACCUUAUCAUUGAGAGGAAGGAGAAGUCGGAACA